AGUGAACGCUGGCGGUAGGCCUAACACAUGCAAGUCGAACGGCAGCACAGUAAGAGCUUGCUCUUACGGGUGGCGAGUGGCGGACGGGUGAGGAAUACAUCGGAAUCUACUUUUUCGUGGGGGAUAACGUAGGGAAACUUACGCUAAUACCGCAUACGACCUACGGGUGAAAGCAGGGGAUCUUCGGACCUUGCGCGAUUGAAUGAGCCGAUGUCGGAUUAGCUAGUUGGCGGGGUAAAGGCCCACCAAGGCGACGAUCCGUAGCUGGUCUGAGAGGAUGAUCAGCCACACUGGAACUGAGACACGGUCCAGACUCCUACGGGAGGCAGCAGUGGGGAAUAUUGGACAAAGGGCGCAAGCCUGAUCCAGCCGUACCGCGUGGGUGAAGAAGGCCUUCGGGUUGUAAAGCCCUUUUGUUGGGAAAGAAAAGCAGCAGGUUAAUACCCCGCUGUUCUGACGGUACCCAAAGAAUAAGCACCGGCUAACUUCGUG
rnacentral:rRNA from 1 species